CUCCUAAGAAACCUAAUGCCAUGACACUC
rnacentral:sRNA from 1 species